GAAAACUAUCGACUCGAAUCAAGGCCCUUGUGAACUUGAUGCAGGUGUUCCAAUGUUCAAUACACUUAACGAAACACUAAUCGGGAUAGCGACACCAAUUUUAUCGUGUGAAAAAGAUGAGUUGGACGUAUACACCUACGUGCCUGCGCAUAAAGAAUGGAUAGAGGAGAACGCCACUGCUGGAACAUUCUUUGUUUCAAAUCAUCAGAUUUUGUGGCUAUUGAUUUCGUUCUAUUACUUAUUUGAGUUAUUAUUGCUGUAA